UGGUAAAUUGCUGCAGAGAGCGUAGAUCUUACUUGGACUCCAAUCAGUCUUGUUUGAAAGUUCCAUUGUCUUUCCGAAAGUGAUUCCAUACCUUUGGCCAAAAAUAAGCCUGCGGCUAGUGCAUAGCCCUCGUAUUUAAAAGACUCCUUGCCUUGAGCAACCUGAAUGAAAGCUUUAAGUAGCAGAGGACCAGAAGCAAGUGCAAUUACCUUGAUCAAUGCAAAAAGACCGGACACUAAGAUCGCUUUAAGCUGCCAGAUAAAUAUAGUUGAUAAAAUUGGAAGAGAGCCAGAGGUUCCUUUUUUUGUCUGUGCUGUCAGUUGCUCCAUAAACUUGGAGUAACACGUCUCUGCACGAUCUUCAUGCUUUAAUUUCGGAAGAUCAAUGUCCUCCAAAACUUUAAUUUUACCCUUCUUCAGUAGCGGGUUCAACCACCAGAAGGACAUUAUACUCAGAAUUCCUGCAUUACUGAAAGGAGUAACAUUUUCAACCUCGUUGAUUUUUAUGUCAUCGCCAGCCUCUUCACCUUGCGAACGUACAGAGGGUGUCUUCUUCAAUUCUUGUUUCCAUUUCUGCAUAUUUAAAAUUCCACAAAAACACGUAAGGAAAAUAUAUAUAAUUGCUCCUGGUCAAGUUAAGAAGAGGGCUGACAGAGGCUUGAAACCCUAAGAUAACACCGCUAGCCACUGAUGCCAACAAUCUGGACUAGGUACUCCCAAGAGUAAGAGAUUGUUUUCAUUAAGACCACGGUUUUUAAAAAAUUAAUCUUUGAAAUGUCAUAAAUUAAGAAAAUUAUCCCACUAAAGAAAACUAUCAUAUUUCUUACACAAGCUUGUACAAGUCAGUAAAUUUCAACUUACAAAUACAAAACCAUGAUUAACAUUCUGAAAAUGCUAGAUACCCAAAAAUUGUUCCGAAAUCUAGUUAGACAAUAUAUGAUUGGUUCCACCACACUAAUAAUAAUAAUAAUAAUAAUGGGAUCUUUAUACGCACAUAAUCUGUCCAAUUAAAAUCAACCAUUUGUCGGUUACAUCAUUUAAGGAAAAAAAAAUUAUGAACAACAUUUGUGAUAAGUAACAUUACUCCUAACAUUCAACCAGGAGCAAAAAACCAUCAUGCAUACAAGAACACUAGCGCCUUCUGUUUUUCAAUAAUGACACACUCACGCACCCGUCUUGUCGUUAUCUGUCUAUGUUAUGAACCCACAAGUGAAUGAGUAAAGAACACACACCUUCUACGAUCGACUUGAAGCAAAUGCAGAUAUCAUAUAGAGGAAGAACGGAAGAUUCUUGAGAGUCGAAGUAUGAUUAAGCAGAUUCUCCAACGACAAGGAUUUAAUAUGUAAUGUAUUAACCAUUACAGUGAAUUAUUACUAUAACUAGAAAAUGGAGAAAAUGCCCCAUAUGCGAAUCAUUACAUGUGAAACGAUUUCAAUUUUAAAACAAACUUAAAAUCGCCAAUAAUGCAAUUUAAUAUGUUGAUGAACGUCUAAUUAUAAUGGUCAUUUCCAUUAUUGGAGCAAUUUAAUCUGAUGUAUGACCUUGCACAGGGCGGAACUAGGGCUGAGCAUUCGGUCGGUUCGGUCCAGAACCGGACCGGACCGAACGGACCGAGAACCGAACUUUGAAAAUUUUCUGGACCGGACCGGACCGAAGUUUGCAUAUGGACCGAACCGGGACCGAACCGAAAUAAUUCGGUCGGUCCGGUCCGGUCCGCCAGAACCGAAUUAAAAAAAAAAUUAAUCUGUAUUUACAAAAAAAAUCAGCAAGCAUGAUAAAAGAGAAAAAAGAUAGUACCACCAAUCCACAUCCACCACAGAUAAUCUAGAGAGCUAACAUUCAAAGCACAACUCCAAAAUAGUCAUAAGUUUAUAAAUUUUAAAAACCACCACAGUAGUCUCAAGUCUGCUAGUUCAAAAAUAAAAUAAAUAGUCUGCUACUACUAGUCUUCAACUCUUCAUCAUUUUGUUUGUCCGCUGAUGCUCUGCUGCUCAUGUUCAUGGAACUAACUCAUGCUGUCAUGCUCGAUUAGGUAUGCGUAUGCUCGAUUAGAUUAGGUAUAGAGAGUCUCGACGGUGAAUAUAGUCUAUAGAUAUUAGAUAGUAUAAUUAUAAUAUGGUAUUUAAAAUAUAAAAUAAAAUUAUUAUUUAUAUUAUAUAUAAAAGUUCGGUCCAUUCGGUCCAGGACCGAAAUUUUUCGAUGGGGACCGGACCGGACCGUAUUUUAUUUCGGUCCGGACCGAAAUACCCGAACGGACCGAAUUUUCAGAAAAUUAGGACCGAACCGGACCGAAAUUAUUCGGUCCGGUCCGGUUUUUCGGUUUCGGUUCGGUUCUGCUCAGCCCUAGGCGGAACCAAGGGGGGGCUAGCCCCAGCGCCAGCCCCGGCUGAGAAAAAAAUUAAUAAGUAAAAUAUAUAUAUAUUCAACUUUUUAGCCCGGGGGCAAAUUUAAAAAUGAUUAUAUAUAUAAAAAAUUAGCUCAAAUUGAAAUUACAUUUCUCUGAAAUGGACUAGGUUUUGUUAACAAAUCAGCUGGAUAAUUUCAUUUAUGAUGUGCAAAAUGAUAAUAGUUUCUCUGAGUUUCAAAAUAUUGCAGAGCUUGCUAUUAAGAUGGUCGGAACACAUAGAAGUACAACUUAUCCUUUGGUUUACCGUCUCACUGGGCUAGCUUUGAUUUUAACUGUCGCAACAACUACUGUUGAAAGAGUGUUUUCUGCAAUGAAAAUACUUAAGACUUAUUUGCGUAACAGGAUGGGGAUGAGUGGUUGAACGAUAGCAUGCUGGUUUACAUCGAGAAGGUCAUAUUUAGAGACAUAAACGACGAAAUUAUCUUACAAGGCUAUCAAAUUAUGCAAAAUCGUAGAGUUCAAUUGUAGUUUAGCCCGGGGUCAAAAUUAAUCCUGGUUCCGCCACUGACCUUGCAGCAGCAUGAGCAUCUAUAGUGAUAGUUAAUUUAAUCUGAUGUGUCUUGAGGUCUGAAGAAAUAUUUCUCUACAGAGUUGGUAAAACAUAUACUACCACGUUCUUUUAAUUUUGGCACAUUCCUAAGACUUUUACAUUAUAAUUAAAAUUAUUAUUUUUAUAAUUUUUUAUUUAAAUUAUAUCAAUCAUAUAAUUUUAUUCCGAAAUUUAUCUUUCCAAAAAUAAUGAGUUUAAUUCUAUGAUUAAACGACUAAAAAAAUACAUGUCAACAAGGAAAGCGACUAUAUUUUAAAUCAACCGAAAUAAUUCACACGAUACGAAAUAUUAUAAUAAUAACAUAAUGUUCUUUUGAAAAGAAAUAUGACACAUUUUUUAUUCUUUAUUAUUCAAUCAACAAUUUUUUUAAUAAGACAACUGAGUGUGUUUGCCCGGAUUUUAUAUUUGAAUUUUAAGCUAUUUUAGACUCUAAACUGUAUGUCUGCGUGAUAAGUAAGAGUUAAAUUUAGAAGUCGGUAGGAUGUACUUUUUUAAUCAUUUUAUAUUAUUUUAAUGUUUUUUAUAAAAAUCAAUUUCAACCCUAGAAUAAACUAUCAAAUUUUUUUAAUAACUCAUAAGUCAUUUAAAAUAUAAAUUAUCCAAACAGACAACCUAAACUAAGCACUUAUCACAAUAAGGAGCUGCAUGGCUUAUUUUAUUUAUAAAUGAAAAAUAAUUUUUAAUUUAUCUAUUUGGAUAUAUUUUUUGAUUUUUACGGCUUAUUGAGUAUAAUAAUUAUUAACAUAAUAACAAAAUAUUAUAAAUUAUUUUUAGAAUGGUCCUUUACAUUUUUCUAAAAUCAAAUUUCAAAAUACAAAUAAGUUAGUCUCGACUUGAUAUGACUUAUAAGCUGGGAGUUGACUUAUAUAUUAUUUACAUAAAUGGAAUGAAAAAUUGUUGAAUGGUUCCCACGGAUAUAAUUCUAAAUUAAUAAUAAAUUUUAAUCAAUAAAAAUAUACUUUAAUGUGUUCAUUAUAAUAAAUAAAAUUAUAUGAUAUCAACCUUUUUCUUUUCUUACAAAAUUGGUAGAAUAAUUACGAAGUUUGUAAUUUAUAAUAAAAUAAUACAAAAACUUACGAAUACACAAUAACGAUUUCAAACUAUAAAAUUCAGAAAAAUAAUAAAGAGAUUUCAUGAUAUUUAUAAUAAAUUACUUAUUACGACUAAUAUAAAUUUUUGUGAUUCAUGAAGUUUCAUAGUAUAUAUUCAUGUACUAAUUGUAUUGUACAAUUAAAACAAAAUCAUAAUAAUUAAAUAAUUAAAAGAUAUAUAAUAUAAUGUAAAAUAAGUAUAAUAUUGUAAUAAUUAAAAAGAGUAACAAAAGUAAAGAUCAAAAUAUUUGAACCAUUCGGACACAGUUUAAAGGCAGGGUGGUUCAGAGGAAAAUUUGUGUAUUUUAAGUUUUUAACUACCGAUUCAACUAGUGUCAUUAGUGAAUAAAAAACAAAUGACUCCUGAGUCAUUCUAAAUUAUACUGUACAAGUCACCCCUAAAUUAUUACUCUCGUCCCUUCCAUUUCUUUACAUUUGUGUCCCACCCAAUUGUUUACAUUUCAAAACUUACCAAAAAUAGUCUAUGGGUCCCGCCACUUCUCCACUUUUCUUUCCAUUUCACACUAUUUUUACUCCACUAUCUUCUUUUUAUACACAAAAAAUCAAUAGGUCCCACUACUUCAUCCAUUUUUCUUUCUCUUUUCUCUCUACUUUAUACAUAAUUCUUAACUUCCGUGUCCAACUCAUUUGAUAAUAAACUAGUUGAGAAACCGCGCGUUGCGGCGGCCUAUAAAAAUUAUAUUAAUGAUUCUUAUAUUAUAAAAAUCUUGAUGUAAUACCAAUACUAAUAUAUAAAAUUGCGAAAUUGGACUAUAAUUCAUGGUGAAAAAUUGAAAAUAAAUUUGUACACGUAAUUAACAAUUUAAAGCAUAAUGAAUCUUAAUUUUAUUUGUUUUUUUUAAAAAUAAUCAUGUUCUUACAUUGUCACCUUCCUCCAAUUUUUUUGGAUUGAUUGUGCAUAAAAACAUCUAACUUAAUUAAAUCUGCGAGAUAGCAGUCUAUAACUACCCUCUUAAAAGUUGCUUGAACGGAGCAAACAGAUAAUGCAUGAAUAAUAUUUUCAUGUAUACAAAGUAAAUCAUAUAAAAAUUAACAACAACAAACAUGUCCGAUGAACAAAACAAAUAUUAUAAAAGAAUAACCAACAAACAUACAUCACUAAUAGUUAAUUUAUUAAUAUCAACCAUCAAUAUCAUGUCAAGACUACAUUCUUUUCUCGUGUUUGGAUUUGUCGACUCCAAUAUAACGGUCUAUAACUACCUUUGCUUGCUACAACUUUUAUUUUUUUAAUACUGUAUAAACAACCUUCACUCAUCGUUGAAGAAGAACGGCACCUCCGAGUUAGAAAUCGAGCAAGAGAACUAUCACCAGAGAGAGGUAGGGUUAUGGUAUUGAGAGAGAGGAGGUUGUGUUUAGAUGAUCUAAAACCCUACAAUCUAUAGGGGUAUUUAUAGGUGCAGAAAGACUUGUGUGCUACUCUUUCCUAUAAUUAAAUAAUUUGAAACAAAAUCAGAUUAAAACUUUCAAGCUAUUAUAUUCCAUAAAUAAUCUGUUUUUCCCAUAAUUAAAUAAUCUGAAACAAAUUCAGAUUAAAACUUUUAAGCUACUAUAUUCCAUAAAUAAUUUAAAACAAAAUUAGAUUUUGAAACGUGCUUCUAAUAUACCCGAAACUAAAGAAGGUAGUUCUAAUUUUUAAUAUUUUUCAUCCAAAAAAUCCAGAAAAUUAGAAAAAUAGAACGGAGCGAUGUGAGAGGCGCCACCUACAUGCCCCUCACUUCUCCUUUAUAUAGGUAAUCGAGCAAUAGAACUAUCACCAGAGAGAGUUAGGGUUGUGGUAUUGAGAAAGAGGAGGUUGUGUUUAGAUGAUCUAAAACCCUACAAUCUAUAGGGGUAUUUAUAGGUGCAGAGAGACUUGUGUGCUACUCUUUCCUAUAAUUAAAUAAUUUGAAACAAAAUCAGAUUAAAACUUUCAAGCUAUUAUAUUCCAUAAAUAAUCUGUUUUUCCCAUAAUUAAAUAAUCUGAAACAAAUUCAGAUUAAAACUUUUAAGCUACUAUAUUCCAUAAAUAAUUUAAAACAAAAUUAGAUUUUGAAACGUGCUUCUAAUAUACCCGAAACUAAAGAAGGUAAUUCUAAUUUUUAAUAUUUUUCAUCCAAAAAAUCCUGAAAAUUAGAAAAAUAGAAUGGAGCGAUGUGAGAGGCGCCACCUACACGCCCCUCGCUUCUCCUUUAUAUAAGUAUAUUGAUCGGAGGGAGGGAGGGAGUAGAAGUUACUACUACUCGUAUAAUUUUAUAAGUCGGCUUAAACGAAUCGAAAAAUAUCAACUUGAUCCCCCUUUGUAUGUUUUAUGAAAAUAAUAUCUUUUACAAUGACGUCAGUCAUGUGACAAAAUUAACCAGCCGAUGCGAUCCAAUUGAACAAUUUAUAAUGUUGGUUGAUGUCGCCUGAAUAAGACCAAUAUUCCUUAGUUAACUUCCUGAACAGCGAACCUUCCCUACUUAACAGUUUAUUAGGCUCAUCGUAUACUCCACCAACUCUCAUGCAUUUUUUUUAAAAAAAUUAUAAACAAAGAACUCUUUGUUCGAGAUAUAAAUUUUAAAUUACUUUGCAUAUAUUGAGUUGAAAUGAACGAAAUUCAUGUCUCAAUCCAUGUAACUUUGUACCGAAGGAGAAAUCAGAAAUUCUCAGGCUCUUUUCGCAGUAGCUUCUUAUGCAAAUUUCUUGUAAUAUCACUAAUUUUAAGGAAAAUAAUAUAUUUAGCAUAAUGUAAUAUAUAUCAAAGUAACGUUUUAUAAAUACAUGGCCAAUAAUGUCAGCAAUACGCUAUUAUAGAAUGAUAAUAACAUAAAUUGUCCUUGCCCGAAUGGAUAUCAAGCUAACCCGAAUUUAAAAGAAAUUCAUCAUCCGAUCGGAUUUUAUGAAAGCGUUUUUAUGAGAAAGGAAAAAACCCUAGCUAAUUGCCCGAGACGAAGUUAUACACUCAAAAGUAAAAUGACAACCCUAAUUAAAGGUUUUAGCAGAGCAAAAAGAAAGAGCAUGGGUAAGCAAAUCCUUGUUUUAUCUUCAGGUGUGCCUAUUGCUCAAUGCUCUGCAUUUGCUUGUGUUGUGUAUGUAUGCAUGCAUGGAAUUUGGUGGCAAUAUACCGGUUGUCUAGAUUGAGUUCGGUUAACAAGAGAAUGGGAACCUCGUGUUGGUGUUUUCACAAGAGGUUUAAGGGUCUGUUUGGGAGUGCUGUUAAAAAUUAUUGUGCUGUCAGAAAAAGUGCUGAUAAAAAAUGUGCUGUUGUAAAAAUCAGAUAACUGUUUGGUAAUUCUUUUUGAUAUUUGUUUAUUUUUAGUUAUAAUAUAAAAUAAUAAUGUUUUUGAUGAGGUUUGAUAAUAAAAUCUAUAACAGCUUUCUACAAAAACUAAAAAGCAGCUUUUUCCAAAAGCAUGGGGACCUGUUUUUUCUAAAAACAACUUUUCAGCUAAAAGUUGUUAUCGGAAAAGUUACUUUUAGAUUUACCAAACAGUUUUGCAGCUGUUUUUCAGCGAAAAGCUAAUCUUGUUAUCGGCAACAGCAACGCCAAAAAGUACUAAAUAAGCAAAUUAUUAUAUGGAAUGGGAAUCUUAUUCCAAUUUUGGGGUAACCAAACCUAAUAGCCUCCAUUCCCAUGCCCCACUUUCCCAUUCCCCCCACAAUCCAAAUGCCCCGUACAGCCGUACUAUAUGUUAUGCAUGCAAGUAUUCUCUGAGCCAUAGCUCUGGUUAUCACUCUACAACCCUGAAAUUCUUUAAAUUGUUUGAUGUUGUUUGUGGGCACCAGAAUAAGACCAGUAUUCCUCAACUAGCUUCCUGAACAGCGAGCCAUCCCGAUUCAACAAUUUAUUGGGCUCAUCAUACUCCACCAUCUCUCCUGCAUUUUCCAAAACAAAAAAUCACUAUAACAAAUAUUUUCAUGACUAACACUUACAUACUGAUGUAUGUGCUUAAAAAGUUACCAUUUCUCAUGGAAAGCACCAUUGUGCAGUCAAUCACAGUUGGUAUUCUGUGAGCCACUGUUAUCACGGUGCAGCCUGCAAAUUCCAUCCUUAUGGUUUUCUGUAUUAUAGUGUCUGUUGCAUUGUCAAUUGAUGCUGUUGCUUCAUCAAGAACUAGGAUCUUCCUCCUCUUUAAUAAUGCCCGUCCCAGGCAAAAUAACUGACAUUGUCCCAGGCUCCAAUUUGAUCCGUCCUCCACAACUGCCAUUCAUCUUUAUGUUAGUAACAAACACAGAGGUAUGUAUAUUCUUUACUUAGCUUUUUACAGAACUGUUUUCUUACCCAAGGAGUUCAGCCCUUCUUCUUUCUCUUGAACAGCCUCUCGGAGGUGACAUUUCUCAAGAACCUUCCUCGCAUUACAUAGUUACACACAAAGUAGUGUCAUUUUUUUUAUAGGAAAUGAAAACAAAGAUUGGACUCCGAAUGAGCAACUGGAUAAUAGUUUACCUGCCAAAUUUCACUAUCAGUAUGCUCAAAGAGGGGGUCUAUGUUAUAUCUGACGGAACCACUGAAAAGUGUUGGAUCUUGUGGGAUGAUGCUAAGCUGUGUUCUGAGGUCAUGAAGCCCAAUUUUAGAGAUAUCUAUGUCAUCUAUUAUUAUCUUUCCAGCCGUAGGUUCUACAAGGCGAAACAAGGCACUUAUCAAAGUUGUCUUCCCACUACCAGUCCUGCCAACAAUUCCAAUUCUAUGUCCUCCUUCAAAGAUGCAACUGAUUCCACGCAAAACUAGAGGCGCAUUUUGUCGGUAUUUUACCUGCUUAAUUCAGACUUUUCAUUAUGUACCAGUAUCUACAAACAUAAAUUUAUGAACAAAAUAAACCACAAAAGAGACACUGAUACCUUUAGAUUGUUGAUUUCUACUCUCCCAGAAACUGGCCAGUUAAGUGGAGGACGGUUAUCUUCUAGUUUUUCGGGGGCCUCACUAGGAAUGUGCAUGCACUGUUCUAGCCUCUCCACGGAAAUGAUGAAAUUUGACAGCAUGCAGUGCAUAUUUAUAGCAUAUACAAGGAAUUCAUUCAUUGAAAGGGCGUAUGAUAGAGCCAUCCCGACAUAUCCUGUAAUUUAUAAGUAAGUGAUAGACGCACUUAGCUCUGUUUUAGUCCUCGGAUGACAAUAAAACUGAACAAGACACUUUCAAGCUCACAAAUGGAGCUGCACCAACAUGAAAAAAAAUUUGUGCAAUAUAAAAGAAGAUACCUAACCUGAUUUAGAAGCUCCAAGAGGCAUCAAAGUCAUGCCAAGUGCAGAGAAUGAGACGAUAACUGCACAUAAUCCUUCCAGAUGUAGUAUCAACCACUCAUUUGCUGAAAAACUGUGGAAGUAUGGAAUUGAGUUUGCAUCAAUAAGACGGAAGUUUUCAGAAAUAAACCUAUUUUCUUCUUUAAAGGCUCUGAUGGUCACCGCUCCAGCAAUUGACUCGGCAAGCUGGCUUGCAACUGAAGACUUUGUCGUGCCAUUAAUACGCAUCAACUCAUUAGCCGAAGCUAAGUAGAAUUUCUGCAAGUUCAGUUACAAGAAUCUUGAGUUCUUUCUAAAAGAGUAUUUUACAUUUCUUAGCAGUGUUGUAAAAUUACCUGUAAAACUAUGGUAAUAUAAACUGUGGGAAUGAUGAGAAAUAAGAUAGGCCAGGUGAGUACAGCCAAUAUUCCAAAGCUGAGACACGUGUUCAAUGCUGAUCCGAUUGCAGUUGCAAAUUUUAUUGCCACUUCAAGGUCUAUGAUACUCAGAUCAGAAGAUAACUAUUGAAAGUAUUAAAUAUGUAAGUCAUAUGAUGAUCGUAUUAUCACGACUGUAAUGUAAAUUUGGCUAAUUUAGAUAUCCUUACCCGGCUCAGUAUCCUUCCAACAGGUGUCGAAUCAAAGUAGGACAUAGGUGCUCGAAAGAUUGACACUACUGCCUUGGAAAAAAUAGAUUCCGACGCCUUAGUACUUAAUUCAACUACUACAUAAGAUCUUAUAAGUAGGCACACUGACAUUACACACCCAAUCCCAGUGUAUACUGCAUUUAGUAUGACAAUGCUUAUAGCGGGAUUUUGAAGUUCAGCAGCCAACCAAACACCUUGACCUAAUUGACCAACUAUGAAUAACAUAUGGAAUAUGACUGAUAGUGAAAGGUAUAAGAAUCCCUGGUUUUGCUUUAAGUAUUGUUUGUAAGGUUUUAGACCGCGGUCUCCGGUCUCUUUCUGCUCUUUUUCAAUCAACUGGUCUCCCAGCCCUUUGUGAAGCUCUUCUUCAACAUCAAUUUCUUGUAUCUCUUGGUUGGAAACUGUAGGACUUUGUGGAGAACUAUAACUCAUUCGUCCUUCCGGAUUGGUAGCAUCACUUUUCACAAUCAAAAGAUUUUGAAAAUCUGGACUAUGAACUAACUGCUGGUACUUAUCAGCUUGCAGGAUUUUCCCUUCAGACAUUAGCUGCCAAAAACAAUUGCUUCUUAUUUUCUGAAUAUGUAUCACUAUUAAAUGGAUUCGAAAAAUGAAAGACAUUAAUAAUCCCUCAUUCUUCUCUACUGUAAAAGGGAAAACAAUAUCUCAUGUUUUGAUUAAAAUUACUAACCAGAAUAAUAUCAAAAACAGGGAGGAAGUCAACUUGGUGGGUGACAAGCAUAACCGUUUUUUCUGAUAAUGCUCCCAUGACAUACUCCUGCAAAAAUCAAAAUUUGUCCAUAAAACAAAGGAAAAUCUUUGAAAUGGAACUGAAAUUAGCUUAAAACAUAGGUCACAUUAAAUAAGCUGGUUGCAGUAUGUGCAUCCACAGCGCUAAAUGGAUCAUCAAGAAGGUAUAUAUCUGCAUCUUGAUAUAGUGCACGAGCAAGUUGAACCCGCUGUUUCUGCCCACCGCUGAGGUUAACACCUCUUUCCCCUAUUACUGUCUGAUCACCACAUGGAAGAAUUUGCAGGUCCUGUACAAGUGAACAUCUUUUUAGUACUUUAUGGUACUUUUCUUGAUCCAUAGAUGACCCGAAGAGUAUAUUCUCUUGUAUAGUGCCUGUUUGGAUCCAUGCUGUCUGAGCAACAUAAGCUACCUUUCCAUCCACCUGGACCUAUAAAAUUCAGAAGUACUCAUUUCAGUUGAACCGGUGAGAAAACACAUUGCAAAGCUGCAUGUUUAUAAAUUGAGAUUUAUAUGUUAGUCAAAUUCUGCAGGAACAUCUUUGAGAAUGUGUGUUACUUCUGAUUUAUAUUAUAAUUUUAAUAUUUAGGAGGAGAAAUCAUUUGUGACUCACCGUGCCCUUAGUGCAUGAAACUUCUCCAAGAAUUGCAGCUAAAAGGGUUGAUUUACCUGAGCCAACUUCUCCGCAAAUUGCAACCUUCUCGCCAGAUUGUAUAUUCAAAUUUAUAUUCUCCAGAGUGAGCUUUGAGGAAUUGAUAUCCCAUGAUAAACUUGCUUCUUUAAUUAAUAUAGACUGUGCAAUUACCUUGCAAUGACCUUCACUUCUUUUUUGCAAUUCAGAUUCCUCAAGGAACUGCUGGAUACGAGUUAAUGCAACCUUUGCUUCAAUGAAACUUCCUACAACAUCAGGUAAAAGCCUAAUAUGCUCUUGGACAAUACGGAUUGUUGCAAGAAAUGUAAACACGUUGCUAGUAUCUAGAGGAACUCCCAUCAGAUAGCAUGCCCAGAAAGUUACUACUGUAAUUACGAGAGGGGAUGACCAAAAGAGUGCUAGGUAAUAGCCUCUUUGUGUCAGAAUUGCGGACAACCACCUUUCUUCUUCUUUCCUCAAUCCUUCUACAACAUGUCUAAAGUGGGUCUCCCAACCAUACAACUUCAGUACUUUCAUGUUUGUCACUGCCUCCGUGAUGGCCUUGAGCCUUAUGUCUUGUGUUACCAUGAGUUUUGUCAGGUACCUGUGUUGCAAUUUAACCAUUGGAGAAUUUCCGACUAUUAUUAAAAUCACUGCUAGUAGAGCUGCAAUUGUCGCUUUGCCUACAGUAUAGUAAAUGACAAGAAGAGCAAGACAUAAUUGCAGACUUGUUGCCCAUAUCCGAUGAAAAAAAUAUGGAAAUUCACCAAUUCUAUAAGCAUCUACUAUGACAUAAUUCAGUAUCUGGCCCGGAGAAUGAGAUGCUUUAGCAGCAGUUGAUAGUCUAAGUUGCUUCUGGUAAAUUGCUGCAGUGAGCAUAGAUCUUACUUGGACUCCAAUCAGUCUUGUUUGAAAGUUCCAUUGUCUUUCAGAAAGUGAUUCCAUACCUUUGACCAAAAAUAAGCCUGCAGCUAAGGCAUAGCCCUCGUAUUUAAAAGCCUCCUUCCCUUGAGCAACCUGAAUGAAAGCUUUAAGUAGCAGAGGACCAGAAGCAAGUGAAAUUACCUUGAUCAAUGCAAAAAGACCGGACACUGAGAUUGCUUUAAGCUGCCAGAUAAGUAU
rnacentral:lncRNA from 1 species